rnacentral:rRNA from 1 species
CACAUGCAAGUCGAACGAUGAACCACUUCGGUGGGGAUUAGUGGCGAACGGGUGAGUAACACGUGGGCAAUCUGCCCUGCACUCUGGGACAAGCCCUGGAAACGGGGUCUAAUACCGGAUACUGAUCCUCGCAGGCAUCUGCRAGGUUCGAAAGCUCCGGCKGUGCAGGAUGAGCCCGCGGCCUAUCAGCUWGUUGGUGAGGUAACGGCUCACCAAGGCGACGACGGGUAGCCGGCCUGAGAGGGCGACCGGCCACMCUGGKACUGAGACWCGGCCCAGACUCCUACGGGAGGCASCAGUGGGGAAUAUUGCACAAUUGGCGAARGCCU